GAUGAACGCUGGCGGCGUGCCUAAUACAUGCAGGUCGAGCGAACAGAUAAGGAGCUUGCUCCUUUGACGUUAGCGGCGGACGGGUGAGUAACACGUGGAUAACCUACUUAUAAGACUGGGAUAACUUCGGGAAACCGGAGCUAAUACCGGAUAACAUAUUGAACCGCAUGGUUCAAUAGUGAAAGGCGGCUUUGCUGUCACUUAUAGAUGGAUCCGCGCCGUAUUAGCUAGUUGGUAAGGUAACGGCUUACCAAGGCAACGAUACGUAGCCGACCUGAGAGGGUGAUCGGCCACACUGGAACUGAGACACGGUCCAGACUCCUACAGGAGGCAGCAGUAGGGAAUCUUCCGCAAUGGGCGAAAGCCUGACGGAGCAACGCCGCGUGAGUGAUGAAGGUCUUCGGAUCGUAAAACUCUGUUAUCAGGGAAGAACAAAUGUGUAAGUAACUGUGCACAUCUUGACGGUACCUGAUCAGGAAGCCACGGCUAACUACGU
rnacentral:rRNA from 1 species